AUGUGCAUGAGCAAACAAGAUGGUGGAAUGGGCUUCCGGGACAUGGAGGCUUUCAAUCAAGCGUUGCUUGCAAAGCAAGCUUGGAGGAUUUUGCAAGUCCCUUCCUCCCUCUGUGCUUGGGUUCUCAAGUCCAGGUACUUCAAAGAUGGAUCAAUACUUAAUGCAACUUGCCCGAGUGGUGGGUCAUAUACUUUCCGUAGUAUUGUGCAUGGU
rnacentral:rRNA from 1 species